rnacentral:rRNA from 1 species
GACGAACGCUGGCGGCGUGCCUAAUACAUGCAAGUUGAGCGCUGAAGGUUGGUACUUGUACCAACUGGAUGAGCAGCGAACGGGUGAGUAACGCGUGGGGAAUCUGCCUUUGAGCGGGGGACAACAUUUGGAAACGAAUGCUAAUACCGCAUAAAACCUUUAAACACAAGUUUUAAGUUUGAAAGAUGCAAUUGCAUCACUCAAAGAUGAUCCCGCGUUGUAUUAGCUAGUUGGUGAGGUAAAGGCUCACCAAGGCGAUGAUACAUAGCCGACCUGAGAGGGUGAUAGGCCACCUUGGGACUGAGACACGGCCCAAACUCCUACGGGAGGCAGCAGUAGGGAAUCUUCGGCAAUGGACGAAAGUCUGACCGAGCAACGCCGCGUGAGUGAAGAAGGGUUUCGGAUCGUAAAACUCUGUUGGUAGAGAAGAACGUUGGUGAGAGUGGAAAGCUCAUCAAGUGACGGUAACUACCCAGAAGGGGACGGCUAACUACGUG